CUUCUUUCUUCCACCCUUCUGUGCAUCUCUAGCAUCAUUUGGCUUCCUAAGUGAACUUACUUGAUGUCUUGAUUUCCCUUUGCUGCUAUUCUUUCAUUCUCUGGACAAAAAUAGAAAUCUUGCUAAGAUCCUACCAUCAUAACAUGCCUCCAUGCUUCCAUGCCUCAAUGCAGGAUACCCAGCAUCAUGGCAGGACAGGGUGGAAAUGUCUAGAAGGCUCUUCCUGCACUGCAGGCACACGAGGAUGGCUGGGUUUUGCCCGUACUGCUGCAGUCCUUUGCCAGCCUCCCACUUACUGAAAUCUGCAGCGGUGAAGUGUCUCACGACUCUGAAGUUGUCCAUUCCUAGGCUCUAUUCAGCUCAUUCAUCAAACACCAUUGAAAGGCCUGAGGAGUAAAGAC
rnacentral:lncRNA from 1 species